UCUCGUACGUGGAAGACGUAUUAUGCGCAGUAUGGUCUCAAUUGAAUAUUCCUAGAUCGUUGAAACGGUUUAAUUUCGAUCGAGAUCGCGAUUAAAUUAUCAAAAAGAUCAUAUAGUCAUUCGGUAUUAUAAAUUUUAUUAAAUACGAGAAAGUGACGAUCGUGAAAUUGACAAUCGACGAGAUUGAGAUCACGUUUUAUCAGAUAUCUUUCAAGGAUUAAUCCUUUGAAUUGGAGUUCCUCGUCAAGGAUUCAAGGCGAUAGACACCACGGAUGACGUUACUUAUUGUGAAGUAGAAAGAGAAGAAGGUGGAAGAGGAGGAAGAGAAAGAAAAAGAAGAGCAGCCGCUAAGUGCGGUAGACUGCGCAUUCGCGAAAAGGGGAAGGACGAACGACACAAAGAGAAAGAUAUAUAUGCGUAUACACGUACACAUAUACAUAUAUAUAUAAAGAAAGGGAGUAAGAGAGAGAGAGAGAGAGAGAGAGAGAGAGAGAG